UCCUGCCAGAUUUAUUACCGUUAAUCAAUA
rnacentral:piRNA from 1 species